rnacentral:rRNA from 1 species
AGUGAACGCUGGCGGUAGGCCUAACACAUGCAAGUCGAACGGCCGCACAGUAAGAGCUUGCUCUUACGGGUGGCGAGUGGCGGACGGGUGAGGAAUACAUCGGAAUCUACUUUUUCGUGGGGGAUAACGUAGGGAAACUUACGCUAAUACCGCAUACGACGUACGGGUGAAAGCAGGGGAUCUUCGGACCUUGCGCGAUUGAAUGAGCUGAUGUCGGAUUAGCUAGUUGGCGGGGUAAAGGCCCACCAAGGCGACGAUCCGUAGCUGGUCUGAGAGGAUGAUCAGCCACACUGGAACUGAGACACGGUCCAGACUCCUACGGGAGGCAGCAGUGGGGAAUAUUGGACAAUGGGCGCAAGCCUGAUCCAGCCAUACCGCGUGGGUGAAGAAGGCCUUCGGGUUGUAAAGCCCUUUUGUUGGGAAAGAAAAGCAGCAGGUUAAUACCCCGCUGUUCUGACGGUACCCAAAGAAUAAGCACCGGCUAACUUCGUG